rnacentral:rRNA from 1 species
UAGGGAAUCUUCCACAAUGGGCGAAAGCCUGAUGGAGCAACGCCGCGUGUGUGAUGAAGGGUUUCGGCUCGUAAAACACUGUUGUAAGAGAAGAAUGACAUUGAGAGUAACUGUUCAAUGUGUGACGGUAUCUUACCGGAAAGGGACGGCUAAAUACGUGCCAG